rfam:Gossypium raimondii Chr10_contig_48, whole genome shotgun sequence.
UGUUAAAAAUCUUAUUAAUUUUUACUAUUAAAAACUGAUAUGACUGACAAAAUAAUCAUACGGUUAUAUGUGACACGUCAUGUGUACCUAAUUCUGACAUAUAGGGACCAGUUUUUAACAAUGGAAAUAGAUGAAAUUUUUAAUA